rnacentral:snRNA from 1 species
GUGCUCGCUUCGGCAGCUCAUAUACUAAAACUGGAACGAUACAGAGAUUAGCAUGGCCCCUGCGUGAGGAUGACAGGAAAAUUCAUGAAGCGUUCCAUAUUUUU